GUAACAAGGUCUCCGUAGGUGAACCUGCGGAGGGAUCAUUACAGAGUUCUCGCCCUCGCGGGUAGAUCUCCCACCCACUGUGAUUGCUACCGUGUUUCUUUGGCGGGCCGCCGGGCCCAGCCCGGCCGCCGGCUCCGGCUGGCGCGCGCCCGCCAGAGGCCCGACAAACUCUGAAUGUCAGCGUCGUCUGAGUACUAUACAAUAGUUAAAACUUUCAACAACGGAUCUCUUGGUUCUGGCAUCGAUGAAGAACGCAGCGAAAUGCGAUAAGUAAUGCGAAUUGCAGAAUUCAGUGAGUCAUCGAAUCUUUGAACGCACAUUGCGCCCUGUGGUAUUCCGCAGGGCAUGCCUGUUCGAGCGUCAUUUCAACCCUCAAGCUCUGCUUGGUGUUGGGCCCUGCCCGCCGCGGCCGGCCCUAAAGACAGUGGCGGCGCCUCCUGGCUCUGAGCGUAGUACAUCUCUCGCUCCAGCGCCCGGCGGUGGCCUGCCAGAACCCCAACUCUGUGGUUGACCUCGGAUCAGGUAGGGAUACCCGCUGAACUUAAGCAUAUC
rnacentral:misc_RNA from 1 species